GAUGAACGCUGGCGGCGUGCCUAAUACAUGCCAGUCGAGCGAACGGACGAGAAGCUUGCUUUUCUGAUGUUAGCGGCGGACGGGUGAGUAACACGUGGAUAACCUACCUAUAAGACUGGGAUAACUUCGGGAAACCGGAGCUAAUACCGGAUAAUAUUUUGAACCGCAUGGUUCAAAAGUGAAAGACGGUCUUGCUGUCACUUAUAGAUGGAUCCGCGCUGCAUUAGCUAGUUGGUAAGGUAACGGCUUACCAAGGCAACGAUGCAUAGCCGACCUGAGAGGGUGGUCGCCCACACUGGAGCUGAGACGCGGUCCAGACUCCUGCGGGAGGCAGCAGUAGGGAAUCUUCCGCAGUGGGCGAAAGCCUGACGGAGCAACGCCGCGUGAGUGAUGACGGUCUUCGGAUCGUAAAACUCUGUUAUUAGGGAAGAACAUAUGUGUAAGUAACUGUGCACAUCUUGACGGUACCUAAUCAGAAAGCCACGGCUAACUACGUG
rnacentral:rRNA from 1 species